rnacentral:tRNA from 2 species
GCCAGAGUGGCGGAAUUGGUAGACGCGUCGGAUUCAAAAUCCGAUGGGGUAAAACCCGUGCCGGUUCGAGUCCGGCCUCUGGUACCA